UAUAUAUAUAUAUAUAUAUAUAUAUAUAUAUAUAUACUAGCUGACCCAGCAAACGUUGUAUUGCCGAUAUUAAAAUCGCGAUACAAAAGUAACUGUUGAUCGUAGAUGGGUGAAAAUUUGAAGUUGUAUAUAUUUUUAAUGCUGACUCAUAAUCAAACAAAUUUAAAAAAGAAUGUCAAAAAAAUUAAAAAAAAAAACAAUUCGUGUGGACCACCCUUAACAUUUAUCAACACAAGAAUUUUAUAUAUUAGAUAGUCUUAGCUGUCAGUGCCUACGCUAGCGCGCGGCUACUAGAUUACUUACAGGUGUCAGUGCCUACGCUAGCGCGCGGCUACUAGAUUACUUACAGGUGUCAGUGCCUACGCUAGCGCGGGGCUACUAGAUUACUUACAGGUGUCACUGCCUACGCUAGCGCGGGGCUACUAGAUUACUUACAGGUGUCAGUGCCUACGCUAGCGCGGGGCUACUAGAUUACUUACAGGUGUCAGUGCCUACGCUAGCGCGGGGCUACUAGAUUACUUACAGGUGUCAGUGCCUACGCUAGCGCGGGGCUACUAGAUUACUUACAGGUGUCAGUGCCUACGCUAGCGCGGGGCUACUAGAUUACUUACAGGUGUCAGUGCCUACGCUAGCGCGGGGCUACUAGAUUACUUACAGGUGUCAGUGCCUACGCUAGCGUGGGGCUACUAGAUUACUUACAGGUGUCAGUGCCUACGCUAGCGUGGGGCUACUAGAUUACUUACAGGUGUCAGUGCCUACGCUAGCGUGGGGCUACUAGAUUACUUACAGGUGUCAGUGCCUACGCUAGCGCGGGGCUACUAGAUUACUCACAGGAUGUUCCAAAAUGAUUGUGUGUUUUAUUUAUGAUUACGUUUAAGUAGUUCUAAGGCCCGUGUGUUUUUAUUUAAUGUUGCCAUUGUGGCGCCUCGCGUUAUAUAUUGUUGUAUGUUUAAUGAGAAGCUCUUUCAUUUUAUUUAUUGCUAAGUUUUUAAGUUUAUAAUCAUUAUUGGUUAGUAGAUACAUAUUUUAUCUGUUAAUUUAUAUAUUGUAUUGUUAUUUGUCACUGUCACAAAUUGUAUGCUAAAUUGAUAGGUAUUUAUUAAAAUGUAUUCUCACAAAAAUAUAAAUGACAUACUCAGUAUUGAAAUUAAUGUGAUAAGCAGUUAAAGAUAUCAGCUAAAUCAGCAUUUUUUGAGAUUCCCAAUACGCAUUUUGAUGCUUUUAUGUCUAAAUCGGCCUUUCAGUGGAAAUCGUAUACAAAACUAUGAUAGCUUUAAAAGUUAUAUGAAUUAAUGUUAUUAGUAUUAAAGGGCCUUAUCAACAAUUCUUACAUAAUUUAUACGUCUAGACAGCUGUCAGAAAAAUAGAGGCGAACAUUAAGCCUCUAUUUUCAGCAACACACGCCCACUAAAAGUAACGCGUCGCGAGUGUAAGUCUUAGUUGUCCUGCACACAGUAAUAAACCUGGCCUGUUGUCAUGCGUUGUCGAACAGCAAGAGGCUCUGUCUAGACGCAUAAAUUAUCUAAACAUCAACUAUUCAAGAGAAAAUAAUACUUUUAGACCAGGGAAGAAUUUUUUUUUGUAAAAUAUAAAAAUAAAAAACCAAAAACUUGGUUUUUUGGGUUUUUCACAUAUUUAUGAGGUUAUAUAAAAAAAAGUGUGAAGACGAUGGUUGUAGAUCUUUUUAUUACCUAAGUUCUACCAUUUGACUUUUUUCCAUAGGACUUGUAGUUUUGCUGGAAAUGGAGAUAAACCGUUUUUACCCAAAAACACCCCCCUUUUUCCACUUCCCGACCUCAGAUCGCCCGUAAUUCAUUUUUUCUUUAAUUCUUGUCUUCCGUUUCCAAUAGGCUUACUCCUACAAUUAUUUUUUUUACUUUUUAUGUUUUUCAAAGGCUUCAGUACUUGGUCUAUUAACCGUAUUUGUCAUUUUAAGUGUCAGUAAUUCAUGUUCACUAUAAUAUUUAUAAAGUUAACGUAUAUUAUACGAAAUCUUAAAAGUCCUGAUUUUUUUAUUAGAAAGAGAUUUAUUGUGAUUGUAAUAAUAAUAAUAUCUUGUACUUAAUUAUAAGAUCCCGCAUCGAUAUUAAAAUCCUAUAGUUAAAGUAUGUUUUUUAAAUAAGUUUGUUUUUAAAAUAUGUGUGUGCAAGCUAAAUUAAUGAUUAAAUAUAUUAUAUAAAUUAAAUAAUAAAGAUUUAUUUUAAAAAUGAAUUAUAAUGAUAAAUGAAUAAUCGAUCAUAUUUUUAAUUAUAACAUUCUAGUGUGUUUGUUCGAUGGAUGUCAAUUCCACUGAAACGGUUCUUAAGGUAAGCCGGUCUGUUGAGAUUGCACAAUUUUUUAAACUAUUGAGACUUGAAAGAAGUCUUGUCUUUUUGUAGGGAGAGAUCAUAGACUAAUGGGAAUAAAUUAAAAUACUAAAAAUACUUUAUACAUUAUUCCUGUACUAUUAACAAGCUUUGAAAUCGAAAAAAAUAACCUGUUAAUAUUAAUUAUGUUCCUAAAGAACUUUAUGUGCGAUUUUUCGUUGUUUAACCGCUAUCUAAGAUUUUUCUUUUUUAUAUUCAUGGUGAUUAAACCGAUUUCGAACUUUUUUUUUCCACCUACCUUCAUUGCGGAUUCAUUCGUAAGUGCAGUUUUAAUUUUAACUAUAUUCAUUUAAUAUUUUUUACCGUCAAGAGGUAGGUACGGUCCUCUCGAGAAUAAUAGAUGUAAAUUUUAACCAUUACGUAAUAACCGGUUCUUAAUAUCACAGCCUUUAUAUAAAUAGACUUAAUUAACAAGACUGUAGGUACGCAUUAUGGUGAGUCGAAAUCCCUUACGAAACUUUCUUCGUUACUUAAAUCUCUAAGUAUAUUGUUUUGAUAUCUCACCAUAGUAAUAUUAAUACUUAGUAAUAAUACUGCCUUAAUAGGCCUAGAAAUUUAUAUAUACAAGUUAGAUAAAUAACUUCUUAGAUAUAAUUUAAAUGUAAGAAAGUUUGGAUUAAAUGGAAUUCGAAAGUUAAUCACUUUAAGUUGUAAAGUAUUUUUAUUAGGUCAUACCUUUCCUCGAAAAGACAUUUGAAGCAUUUAACUGGUAACAGAAGCUCCUCAUAAUAUCAUAUUGAGUUAAGUUUUUAUUAUAAUAACUGUAUUAUUUUCUAUAUUGUAUGCGCUCAAUUUUUUUUUUUUUUCAAACUUCAUAUUUUCAAGACGCUGUCUGACAGAACUGCGGUCUUUAACUGUCCUGUGAUAUAUGUAUGUAUAUGACCAUGUAUGUUUAACGUGAAAAUAAAUUGAUAUUUGUUGUUGAA